rnacentral:lncRNA from 1 species
UGGAAGAGGAAAUUGCCAAUGCGUCUUGCUUUCUCUUUAUUGGAGGCAUUGUUUUAUCACAACCGUCAAGCAGAGCAUACGCCUAUUUUGAAAAGCUUUUUACAGCUUUGAAUUAAGCACAAAUGAAGAAGUAAGAGGCUGCAUAAUCAGAGGCGCUAACAGAGCACUGCUCUGCAAGGCAAAGGCAGGGUUUUACCAUUACGCUUUCAUUCAUGAACGGCACCAGCAAGGCACAGACUGUGAGCAAGGAGAGAAAGCCACCGCAAGAUACAGUUCAGGCAAGCAACCAAGGAGAUCACCAGAGACCUGGAAGGAGAGUAAGAAGCAUCUUGAAAAGAACAGCUGAGACCUUUAGAAUUUCAUUCUCCUAGAGCAAGAAAAACAACGCGACAGGGGCGGGGAAGGCUGAUUUGUUUCAACUGAGUAAGCAUGACCAGCCAAUCACUCUGGCAAUGUUGAUGUAAACUUUGGUCUUAUAAAAAUCGCAGAAAGGGUGCUGCGUCUCUUUUCUGUCCGUCUCAGGUGAUGUCAAUGGGCUCGGCUCCUCUGUAGCCACUGUCCACGUUAAUCACGCCGUGGAUGUGUUUCUGGCAAAGCCAGCAGAGGGAGUUCGAGAUUAAUGGGUGGGUUCCAGGAUCUACCAAGAGAACCAUCCUCCGUGUUCAGGACCUCCCAAUCCGAUUCCAUGAGGGAUGAGGCAUGCCCCAAAGUGGGUCAAACGUUAAAAACCAUGCUGAAUGAAAGAAUUUUGAAUGCUUCAGAUCUAAUGCUGGAGGGAAGUCUGCUGAAAUAGACUUCUAAAUGUCUAAAGCUGCAAUCUCAGCACAGACAGUCCAUUUAAUGUCCGGACUCCUUCUUUCCUUCCAAUUCUGAGGGACAGAGGCCAACAGGAGAGUGUAACU